GAUGAACGCUGGCGGCGUGCCUAAUACAUGCAAGUCGAGCGAACAGACGAGGAGCUUGCUCCUCUGGCGUUAGCGGCGGACGGGUGAGUAACACGUGGAUAACCUACCUAUAAGACUGGGAUAACUUCGGGAAACCGGAGCUAAUACCGGAUAAUAUAUUGAACCGCAUGGUUCAAUAGUGAAAGACGGUUUUGCUGUCACUUAUAGAUGGUUCCGCGCCGCAUUAGCUAGUUGGUAAGGUAACGGCUUACCAAGGCAACGAUGCGUAGCCGACCGGAGAGGGUGAUCGGCCACACUGGAACUGAGACACGGUCCAGACUCCUACGGGAGGCAGCAGUAGGGAAUCUUCCGCAAUGGGCGAAAGCCUGACGGAGCAACGCCGCGUGAGUGAUGAAGGUCUUCGGAUCGUAAAACUCUGUUAUUAGGGAAGAACAAAUGUGUAAGUAACUAUGCACGUCUUGACGGUACCUAAUCAGAAAGCCACGGCUAACUACGUG
rnacentral:rRNA from 1 species